CAACGCUAGAGGUUAAAGUGCAGUGUCCUGAAUAUGUCUCCUCUGCAGCCUGCUAUUCGCCAUAACAUCGUGGUGCUUAUCCGGGAAGAGAGAGCUGGAAACCACUGCGCAUGUCUGCCUUGUGAAAGAACUACAAAAGGAACACGGGGUGCGCUCCCUUGGGUGGAAUCCACUAGUAGCAGGAGAGGUGCUAGACGUGAAGUCAGAAACGCGCUCACCUGAUGGGGUUGUGCGAAUUGAUGCACAACAUUCGAAUCGUUUCAUACAAUGUCCUGGGCGGCGGCUGCGGUGGCUCCCUGCGUCCAAAGUUACACGACAUGGGAGAUAAAUUGCGCUGCCACCAACGAUCAUUUGAGGAAUUUAUUAAAGUGUCUGCCAAGGUCCCUACCCCCUCUCCACUAGCUGAACUAAUGUGUAACCCCCUCCCAGCUAUUAUUCACGGCACAGAAAGAGAUGAUAAUCAGCCUGAUGGACACAGGGAGUUAAAGAAAAGUAUGGUGCAAGAGUAAAGGUAAAGU